UUGCUCCCUCCUACAGCGCCGGGCACUUCCGGGCGGGCCCGGAUUUGCCGCCGCGCUUGGGAAGCCGCCACCGCCGCCGCUGCUGCAUGGCACUAGGCUCCCGGCGGGGCAGGUUCCGCAGCCGGCACCGCUCUGGCUAGGCGCACGGAGGCGCCUUGCUUAGUCUGACCCUUAUUUGGCCAGGCGUAAAACUUGUCCUGCCUAAAAGCCUACUGAGACCUCCUAACUGGUCUAAUCCGCGGGAGACGCCAAAGGCGGCGGCCGUUUGUGCGCACAGGAUUUUUCUUGGAGCUGUAGCAGUCUAGGAAGCCAGGGUGGAACUUUUGCUAAGCUCCCGUUGUAAGCCCAGAGCUGUAAUAACUGCUGAGACACAACCAGCAGUAUACAGGCUCCAGUUGGAAAUCGAGAACUUUCCAGGGCUGUCACCCAGGCUGGAGUGCAGUGGUGCCAUCACAGCUCACUGCAGCCUCGACCUCCUAGGCUAAAGUGAUCCUCCCAACUCAGCCUCCCGUAGCUGGGACUACAGGAAUGUGCCACGCCCAGAUGGUAAACUCCUGCAAAGCAGAUUGUUUGGUUCUUCUUCCUUCACGGUGCCUGACCCAUCGUUCUGCAGAUAUUAGUCACCACUUGUCUUGAGUGGCUACCUGGGGUUAAGAAAAAAGCUCUGCCCUGAAUGCCAAUGGGAAGGACAGCUGUUGCAGCUCCUGAGUGCAGGCCAAGGAAGGCAUUCACCUUCAUGAAAACCAGGACUACUGUGCAUGACAAUGAACUACUGGAUAGAGACUGAUGCCUUUAAGAUAGUCCUACUUUCAAUCUUCUAUCAUGGAGAAUAUCCAAUCAAAUGAGAAGUGGAACAAGUCAAAACAUGUUCCAGGCAAAAUGAAGGAACAAGGAUGACUGGUGGAGAGUAAGCAGUCUGCAUGGUGUGAUGGCUGGCUGAGGUGGUCUUGUGGAUCUGCGACACUGGAGGAAGUGCUGUCCUGGGAGGAAAGUCUGGCAAAGCAAGCCUGGAUCAGUGGAAGGGCUUGAGCAGCAGGCUGAGCAGUAUGGGCUUUGGACUACAGAGAACUCCAGGUGAGGAAGGAAGAAACAUGGUUAGACUACAGUGAUGCCAUUUCCUUAUGUAAGCAUUUGACUUCAGAAAUUGAAACUGGCCAUGAUUAUUGAGUAGGCACGGCAGUUCAGCUGAAGGAUGAUCAAUGGACUUCAACUCAGAUGCAGAUCUUGACUGACAGAAGAUAAUUAUCAUUCAAGCUAAUGGGGAACUUGAAUUGGACUCAAUGGUGUUAGAAAGUGAAGAAAGGCUAAGUCUUCCUAAAUAAGAAAAAAAUAAUAAUAUCUUUGGCUGAAAUGUUUUGUGCAUGAGACUGAAAAGCUGCCAGGACUGGUCCAUCUGGCUGGCCAAAUGGAUUGUGCUCACUGGAGCAAUGCCACACGUAUACCAGCAG
rnacentral:lncRNA from 1 species